AGUGAACGCUGGCGGUAGGCCUAACACAUGCAAGCCGAACGGCAGCACAGUAAGAGCUUGCUCUUACGGGUGGCGAGUGGCGGACGGGUGAGGAAUACAUCGGAAUCUACUUUUUCGUGGGGGAUAACGUAGGGAAACUUACGCUAAUACCGCAUACGACCUACGGGUGAAAGCAGGGGAUCUUCGGACCUUGCGCGAUUGAAUGAGCCGAUGUCGGAUUAGCUAGUUGGCGGGGUAAAGGCCCACCAAGGCGACGAUCCGUAGCUGGUCUGAGAGGAUGAUCAGCCACACUGGAACUGAGACACGGUCCAGACUCCUACGGGAGGCAGCAGUGGGGAAUAUUGGACAAUGGGCGCAAGCCUGAUCCAGCCAUACCGCGUGGGUGAAGAAGGCCUUCGGGUUGUAAAGCCCUUUUGUUGGGAAAGAAAAGCAGCAGGUUAAUACCCCGCUGUUCUGACGGUACCCAAAGAAUAAGCACCGGCUAACUUCGUGC
rnacentral:rRNA from 1 species